UGCCACUAUUGGUGCUCAUUUCUGGAGGUGGUCAUUUCCAUAUUCACAAUGCUUGCGAGGAGCUGAGGUGCACAAUCAGUCAGGCUGUAAAGCAGCCCAGUGCUUGGACUGCUUGGCCUUGAUGGCACCAGCUGCGUGCCGCUGUGUUCCCCAGGUUUUCUGCCUGUUGGAAGGCAUAAAAUCCACCUCGGUGCUGAGCAACAGCGCUCUGUCUUCAUAGUUGCCGAGCCUGCGGCAGGUAUCUCUACUGAUGUGUGUCUAAAUCCCUCUCUGCUUUCUUCCAGGAUGCUGUUUGUGCCGCUACAGAUGAGGAGCGGUUGCUCAGAAUGCAGGAGGUCAUCCAGCAGCUGCCCGCGCCUCACUACAGGUCAGAAAACUGCUGCCCUGAGUGUGGUGAGCUCAGCCCUGCUGCAUUUCAGAGGGCGAUGAUGCGAUGGCAGGCUUUGUCUCACGCUCACAACAUGAUGCCUGUGUGUGUUGAAGUGAUUGAUGGCUCGGUGGGGUUGAUGGAUUGGGUCAGUUCCUGGGGCACGGCUGGUGCAGCUGAUGGCUGCGUCUGUGCUGUGCUGGGGCUUGGUGCUGCAGCGUGGCACCUGGGAAAGCUUGAUCUGCUUCCUAUUCCGUGACAGUAGCAAGAGCAAGAACUGGCGUGUCUUGAGGUUUGUUUUGUGAAUUGCAGCACGGCGUGCUCACUGGUGCUGAAGGUUUGCCUCUUGCUUUCCAGGACACUGGAGUACCUGGUGAGGCACUUGGCUUGUCUCGCUGGGAGCUGCUCUGCCACAAAGAUGCCCGCUAAGAACUUAGCGAUUGUGUGGGCUCCCAACCUCUUCAGGUAAACUUCUUUUUCCAUUUCAGCACACGGCUUAGAUCUGUUCUCCCCACGGGCACACUUGCUAGAGGAGGACAAUUUCUGCUCUCUUGUUUUUGUCAAAUGGGGCUGGUGUGUCCUUGAUCAUGCAGGAGAAUUUCUUCAGUGGCAUCACUGAUUGCCCACUGCGGAAGUCUCCAGAGCCCAAUUGGACAGCUUGUGGCUGGCCAAAUGCAGACCUGGGGAAAUGAUCUGGGA
ensembl:lncRNA